AGACACUAGGAGUGGGGUCGUAACUCAUAUGGCGACUUGCACUCGCAGCUCUUCGCUAUCUCGUGCUCUCCUCCUUCCUUAUCUCCAUAGCCGAACACAAACCUUAUGCGAGCCCAUCAGACUCGCCCGGUUCAGUUCAACCAUGAAGCAACCCAGACCUCCCUCACUAUUCGUUCGCAGUCAGGCCAAGCGUGGACCUUUUCUCAAACAAGACCAAGUAGCAGCAACUACAGGUGAUCUUGAAUUCGAGGCACCAUUAAAAAUCGUGGAAUAUCCAGACCCUAUACUCAGAGCCAAAAACAAGCGAAUUGAUAGUUUUGAUGACAAUUUAAAGAAAUUAGUUGAUGAAAUGUUCGAUGUCAUGUACAAAACUGAUGGUAUUGGACUCUCCGCCCCGCAAGUAGGAAUUAAUGUUCAACUUAUGGUAUUCAAUCCAGCUGAUGAGCAUGGAGAAGGAGACGAAAUUGUUCUUGUUAAUCCCAGAGUGAAUAAGUAUUCGAAGAAAACUGUGCUCUUUAAUGAAGGUUGCCUAUCCUUUCCUGGGAUAUACGCCGAUGUUAAGAGACCAGAAUCUGUAAAGAUUGAUGCGAGGGACAUUAAUGGUGCAAGGUUUACUGUCAACUUGUCUGGUCUUCCUGCACGGGUUUUCCAGCAUGAAUUCGACCAUUUACAGGGGAUUCUGUUCUUUGAUAGAAUGACUGAAGAAGUUCUUGAUAGUAUUCGUCCAGGGCUACAGGCCUUGGAAAAGAAGUACGAGGAUAAGACUGGAUUCCCAAGUCCUGAAAGAAUAGAAACACACAGAUUGAAGAAGGUUGCCGCAGGUUUUGGAAAAUUAUAAAUAUAGACAUGGGCUUCUGUUUACUGCAUGAGGUAUUGUGGAAAGUAUAUAUAAACAUGUCUGUUCCCACAGGCACAUAGAUAAAAUUUAGGCUGAUGCUGCACAUAUCAUCAUAUGCUGGGGCAAGCGCUGUGCAAUUUUGAACACAAGAACCGCAUACUACAUGGUGUGGCUGUGGAAAUAGAUGGCUGGCUUACAAAGUUAUUUACAGCAGAAAUAUUUGUAUUGCACUUGCAUUUUAGCAACUAAUGGUGCUAGGGAUUUCGUAGCUUGUAUUGUUUACUGGGAUGACCCCCCCAUCUGUCUAUAUUCAAGUCCGCUCAACUUAUUGAUGCAGCUACUUUUCUUA